GAUGAACGCUGGCGGCGUGCCUAAUACAUGCAAGUCGAGCGGACGGACGAGAAGCUUGCUUCUCUGAUGUUAGCGGCGGACGGGUGAGUCACACGUGGAUAAUCUACCUAUAAGACUGGGAUCACUUCGGGAAACCGGAGCUUAUCCCGGAUAAUAUUUUGCACCGCAUGGUUCAAAGGUGAAAGACGGUCUUGCUGUCACUUCUAGAUGGAUCCGCGCUGCAUUAGCUAGUUGGUAAGGUAACGGCUUACCAAGGCGACGAUGCCUAGCCGACCGGAGAGGGUGAUCGGCCACACGGGAACUUAGACACGGUCCAUACGCCUACGGGAGGCAGCAGUAGGGAAUCGUCCGCAGUAGGCGAAAGUCUGACAGAGCAACGCCGCGUGAGUGAUGAAGGUCUUCGGAUCGUAAAACUCUGUUAUGAGGUAAGAACAUAUGUGUAAGUAACUGUGCACAUCUUGACGGUACCUAAUCAGAAAGCCACGGCUAACUACGUG
rnacentral:rRNA from 1 species